rnacentral:ncRNA from 1 species
GUGUCCUAUGGAAGGAGAGAAGGUUAGCACCCCCCACACACAAGGAUGGAAGACGCCCUUGGGUGUCACAACAUGCACACAAGUGGGCAUCUAACCAUCGAAAAAAGUAAAAAUAUGUUAUCUACAACCAAAUUUUUU